rnacentral:tRNA from 1 species
AAAAAGGUGGCCGAGUGGUUUAAGGCGACAGCCUGUAAAGUUGUUGUGGGAACACGUCGUAGGUUCAAAUCCUACCCUU